CACCAUAUAGACGUCUAUAUCAGUGUAUGCACAACCUUUGAGCACCGGGUCUUCUGUAGAAUUUCUACACACAAACACCUGGGCAAACUCUUGAGAGAGAGAGAGAGAGAGCGUGUGUUCAUGCAAUGGCACCGGUGAUCAAGCUGCAGGCGUAUGGAAAGAGAGGAAAUGAGCAAGCGUUUAUGGACUCUGGAGCUCAGGAUGCAGUGCUACAGGAAAGCUAGGAGAAAUCGGAGAUAUAUAUGGCAGUUGCUGGAGUGGGAGAUCGACGCACUGGAAAGGUUACAGAGAGGCUUACAGUUUGCUCGGCAAACCGGAGGUGAUCGCUGUUAGUCGGAGUGGCCAUGGUCGGAGUACUCCUAGUCCUAGAGGUAGCAGGUUGAUCGAGUUCCAGCUUCAGCGAAGCGUAUGCAGUGCAAAAACAGAUCAGCGGACUGCUUCACAGCAAGGAAAUAGAGAAGGAGUGGAUCAGCAGUGACGAAUGGGUGGCACUGAAUUGAGGGAUUCCAUGGAAGAUGGAGCAGUCUCCAGCAAUGAAAUUCCCUUUCAUCUUUACAGAUGAAAGUAACAGAGCAUUGGUUGGACAGAGAGCCUCUCUCAACUGGUCAUGGAGACUCUCGUAUGGAGGUAAUGGACUAAUGGCCAGGACGCCUGAUUCUGUCUACUUCCAAUCUUCCAGGAAGGAUUCUGUCUAUUUUUCCGGGGCAGUUCAAGCAGGAAGAGAAACGGGCUAAAUUCAAGAGGAACUUACAAAAACUAGCAGGAAUCAGCUUCAAUUUUCGCUGCGUCUCUACUUUGAGUAAUCUGUCUGCAGCUUCGGAAACUUCAAACGCGAUUUGUACCAACCAACCACGCUCACCCCAGCCCAGCUCGCUUGACCGCUAACGCCGAGGAAUUUGGCAUACAGCGCCAUCAACGAGUGGCUCGGUGCGGAGGCGUGCGGCGUCAUGGUCGCCCGGUCGUCGUCACGCAGCAGCACAUCCACUUCGUGUCUCCGAGGCUCGGACAGGUCGGUACUGGGCGGUAGGUCCAAUGUGCCCAACUUUUCAACUGCUUUUCUACCAGCCCACUCCAAUCAGACCACACUUGUUCAGGUCAAUCAAUGCCCCAUGCAAAGACUGCCCUGAGAAAUGAGACUUUUUAAGGGGGUGUUUGCGAGCUCUCAAAAA